AAACAUAGCCUUUAGAUUCUAACAAUAUUAAAGGUACUGCCUGCCCAAUGAGAGUAAAAACUCUUAAAUGGCCGCGGUAUAACCGUGCAAAGGUAGCAAAAUCAUUUGUCCUCCAAAUAGGGACCAGUAUGAACGGCCACAUGAGAAAGAAACUGUCUCUUUAGGCCCCUCAAUGAAACUGAUCUGUCUGUACAAACGCAGACAUAAAAAAGCAAGACAAAAAGACCCUGUGAAACUUUAAGAGUCAGUCAUACAAUUGACCAAGACACUUUCGGUUGGGGCAACCAAAGAGAAACAGAAACCUCUUUAACCGCCACACGGCAAACAAGCCUAAUGGCAAACCUACAGACCCAGUAUUACUGAGAAAAGAACCAAGCUACUCCAGGGAUAACAGCGCUACAUUCUUGAAGAGUCCAUAUCAACAAGAAUACCUACGACCUCGAUGUUGGAUUAGGGUACCCAAAUGGCGCAAAAGCUAUUAAUGGUUCGUUUGUUCAACGAUUAAAAUCCCACGUGAUCUGA
rnacentral:rRNA from 1 species